GAUCAUGGCUCAGAUUGAACGCUGGCGGAAUGCUUUACACAUGCAAGUCGAACGGCAGCACGGGGCAACCUGGUGGCGAGUGGCGAACGGGUGAGUAAUACAUCGGAACGUGCCCAAUCGUGGGGGAUAACGUAGCGAAAGUUACGCUAAUACCGCAUACGAUCUACGGAUGAAAGCGGGGGAUCGCAAGACCUCGCGCGAAUGGAGCGGCCGAUGUCAGAUUAGGUAGUUGGUGGGGUAAAGGCCCACCAAGCCAACGAUCUGUAGCUGGUCUGAGAGGACGACCAGCCACACUGGAACUGAGACACGGUCCAGACUCCUACGGGAGGCAGCAGUGGGGAAUUUUGGACAAUGGGCGCAAGCCUGAUCCAGCCAUUCCGCGUGCAGGAUGAAGGCCUUCGGGUUGUAAACUGCUUUUGUACGGAACGAAAAGGUCCUGGUUAAUACCUGGGGCUCAUGACGGUACCGUAAGAAUAAGCACCGGCUAACUACGUG
rnacentral:rRNA from 1 species